rnacentral:lncRNA from 1 species
ACUACUUAUGAUUAUUGAUGACAUCAAAGAUUAUGAUGUGUUGGUAAAUGCGACGGUGAGUGGUGUCCUAACUGUGGCGACGGGGGGUAUCUUACCUAUUCUGACAUUGUUUGAGGGAGAAAAUUUAGAAGAAGAAACCUUAGAUGGAGAAAACUUAGAAGACGAAUACUUACAAGAAGGAGAAAACAACUCAGGUGGAGAAAACUUAGAUGGAGAAAACAACCCAGAAGGAGAAAAUUUAGAUGGAGAAAACUUAGAAGUAGAAAACAACUUCGAAGCUGAAACUUAGACGCAGCUUCGUAAGUGAGUGCUUGUGGUAUUGUUCUCUAAUUGGCAUUAAUGUUUAUGUAGUUUCAUGUCAAUAAUAAUCUGCAUAAUAAAGGUUUUCAUUAAAUGUCAAUGCAGAUUAGCCAGCUGGUUAAAUUCUUAUUAUGUCGUCGAAGUUUUAUUGUUGUAUAUGAAACAAAUUAAAAUUAAAUCUUGGGCACGAUUUUGGUUAGAACAGGUUGUAUCUUUUCAUUUUAGUGCAUGAAUAAAAUUGAGAAGAUAUUGUAAAUAAAAAAAGAUGUAAUAUUUUUCGUAGUUUUUUUAUAAAAAAAAUUGAGUAAUGAUAUUGGAACACUAUUAUUUUGAAUAUUUAUCAACACUUGUCAUUUUUUUUAUCUUUUUCUUUCUACCACGUCAAAUCACUAAUGCGUAUAAUAUGAAUGGACAAAAACAAAUAUAUCUUACAUAAUAUAGUAUCGAAGAUUAAGUGUCCGGAUAUCGAAUGCACGUGACUAAUUGUGUUCUUAAAAUAAUAUAUUUUAUUUUGCAACUAAGUAAUUGAGGAAAGAAAUUAAAUUAAGAUGGAUUGAUGAUCAAUUAUCUAAUGCAAGAUCAAAUCUAAACGAGUAAGAUAGUAUCGAGUAAGAUAGUAUGAAAGAGAAGAUGAUUUCAGGCAUACCAAUUCCACCAAUCCUAAUUCUAACAAGAUUCUUAGGAUUGUUAAUUGUCGAUUUUCUAAAGUCAAUUAUUAGUCAUUGAUUGUGGUCAAUUAUUAAUCAAUUUCCUAAUUAACCUACUAGAGGUUAUCCAACCAGUUUGGCAUGCAGUUUGAUAUAAAACACUUUUUUCCUAAUUCUACCAAUUACAUGUAAAUGAUCACUGUUAAGCAAUCAUUUAUGUAUUAGUAAGUCCAUUUCCACCAACCAAUUUGGUCAUGUAGUUUGGUAUAAAACACUUUCUUCCUAAUUCUACCAUUAAAUGCAAAUGAUUACUAUUAUGCAAUCAAUUAUGUAUUAGAACAUCCAUUUCCAAAAUAGAAAUUAAAAGUAAAGAAGAUAAUCAAUUAACUAAAUGACAUCGAGAAUUUCAUUAAAAUUAAGAAAGGAGUUCAAACUAGGUUACAUCAUAAUAAUCGAACUAGGGAGACUAGUUGCUCAUUGUACACACUAUUACAAAAAAAAAAAUUUUAACGUGUCUUACUUGGCACCUUGCUUGCAUGAGUAAGUACAAGUGUACAAUCUGUUUUAAAUUAUGUGUGUAUUGGUUUGUUCUAAUGGAUUGGUUUGUUUGAGAAAUAGAUCAAAACAACUAGAAAGAUCAUGCAUCAAAGAUAGAAAAUGGUGGUGAGUCUAGGAGGAUUUCUAGGUCUUUUAUACAAUGAUGUCAAUGUGACAUGUGAGCAUUUUCAUGGGAGAAAGAUAGAGAGAAAAAGAGAGAGGUAGGGGUGACAUGGAUGAAGUUACCAUUACCAAACAAUUUAAUAUCAUUUUAUUCCUCAAAUUAGUCACUUUAGUUCUUGAAAAAAAAAAGUGUUAUGGUUACUAUAAAUUAUAAAAAAACACCCCUAAAAUCUUCAUUUUUGACUCUUAUUAUGUAGAUAAUGAACAUCAUCUUAUUUUACUAACGAAGUUUGUAGAUGGCUAAAAGUAGGGAUUAACUUGGAUAACAUAAUUCAAUGUCAAAGAUUUAUUUUUCAUGUAUCUAAUUUUAGGAACUAAUAUUUUUUUAUUGGUAAGAAUUGAGCAUGGUAUUAAAAAAUUUACAAUACUCACACAUCUUACUCAACCAAUUAAGUUAGACCCCUUAAUAUUUUAGGAACUAUACCCCCACAAUUUUAGAGACUAAAAUGAUGAUUUGAUCCUUUUUAUUUUUUGUCGAAGAUGAAGAAAAAAGGAAGAAAAAAAGAUUUAGAUUUUUUAAAAAAUAUCUUUAUAUCUAUUCAUAACUUUUAAUCUUAAAUAAGAAUAUGAUGCGUUCUUUGUUAGUAAGAAGCAACAAAGGAAUAAGAAUAACAAAAAAGCACAUGAUAGGAAAUGAGAGCAACCAAGUCAGAGAAUAUCCUCUAGACUCCAAAUUUCAUUCAAAUCCCUCGUACCCCUUACAAUGACCGCCUUCCUUACAUAUAACUGAAUUCCCCUCUCCAUUGAUUUUCUCCUCUAACAAACUUAUUCCCCCUCUCACAAAAGGCUACUGCUAAAUAGACAAAUUUGCCCUCUUGGGCCUGAUGGCAUAUACUUGAUCAAAUCUACUCUUGGACUUUAAGUAUUUUGAGUUGCAAAAUAAUUUUAUAGGAUUUAAGUAUUUUGAGUUGUAAAAUAAUUUUAUAUUUUAUGAAUACUGUGAGUUAUUAAAUAAGUUAUGAGAUUAUAUUUUAUUAUGAAUGAGUUACUUAGGGGGUGUUUGGUUUGGUUAUUUUCUGUUUUCAUUUUCACCGAAAACAGAAAACGGUGAUGAAAAUGUGUUUGGUUGGAUUUCUGAAAACAUUUUCAGUGAAAAUGAAAACAGGAAACAGCCAGAAAAUGAAAACAAUAAAUUUUCGUUUUCAGUGUUUUCAGUUGAGAACAGAAACCUCAUUUCAGGUAAAAUAAAAUUGUGAUGACAAUGAAUGUAUUUUUAAACAAAUCUAAAAAUACAAAAAGACAAAAAGUCAAUAUAUCAUAAAUUUUCAGUAUUUUUAUUUCAUGAAAACAGAAAAUAAGAAGUCAAACCAAACAUAUUUUCAGAAUUCUAAUCUUUUGAAAAUGAAAACAAUUUUCAGAAAAUGAAAACAGAAAAUGAAAAUGCAAACCAAACACACCCUUAAAUUGCUUAAAGGUUUAUGACUUAUCUUUUUUUGUUUAUCCGAUAAUACAAUUUUUAAGUUUGAGGAUUUUAUUUUAUGGGAUUAUAUUUUAUUGUGAGUAUAUGUAUAAUAUUGAUUUUAAAAAAAUGUCCCUUACUAAUUUUUAAGUUUGAGGAUUUUUUUUUCAAAACUUAAAGAUGUGUUAAUUUUUUAACGGUCCAAUUCUAUAACCAACCCAAUCCAAUCUUAUAUAUAAAAGUUAGAUUAGAUUAGAUUGAGUUGUAAAAAAAAGGUAAGCUCAAUCUAACCCAAUCCAAUUAAAUUUAAUUAGAUUAGGUUGAAAAGGAAAUAAAACUUAACUCAAUCCAGCUCCUAAUCUAAAAUAUACAUACUAUGCCAACCUUCUUGGUAUUGGAUAGAAAUUUCACUAUUAAUUAAUAAUGUUGUAUUGUCUGCCAUAUUUUAGGUUCUAUAUUUGGUUUAAAGGUGGGAGGAAAAUAAUUUUAAUGAAAGAGGGAGAAGAAAAGAGAGGUGAUUACACGUUUUGUUUGGUUUAGAGAAGAAGAGAGAUUUUAAUAGAAUGAGAGAAAAUAAUCAUUUUCUUGUUUGGUUCAUAACUAGAGAAGGAAUUUUGAAAAUUAAUUUCCUUGCAUGUUUAUAUAAUUUUAUUUUCCAAAACAUAAGUAGAGAUAUUUUAGUUAAUACUCAUCAAAUAUGUUUUAAAUGUUUUUAUUUUUUUUCUCCCAAAAAUUAAACCAAAUUAUAAAAUUUUAUAAAAAUAUAUCCCUACAUCCCUCUUCCACCAUUUUCUUUUAACCAAACACUAUAUAUGUUAGAGUGAAUUAAUUAGAAAGAGAAAAAAAAAAACAAAAAGAAAGAAAGUAAUAAAUAUGAUAUAUAAUGUGACUAACAAGUUGAUCCGGUCAACGGUAAAAACAACUCAAAUUUAUUAAUAUAUUUUAAAAUAAUCUCAUUUUGGUAAUUAGUUUAUAAUUUCCCUUCUCAUCUUUCUCUCUUUUUUUUCCUACUUUGAAAGUAAUAAAUGUAAUACACAUUAAAUAAACACAUUCUAUUUGGAUAAUUAAAAAAAGUACAUAUCUAAAAUAUACUAUGCCAACCUUCAUGGUUUGGAUAAGAUUAUUUUUCCAAAAUCAAAUUCAGUUUCAGUCAAAACAAAAAAUAAUUAUUUCUACUUUUUCAUCAUAAUUUUGAGAACUUAAAUUGAUUCCAGUAGUUAUCCAAACACACCAAUAUAGGGUGGAUUCAAAAUGAAAGAAUAGAAGAAAAUAAAAGAUAGAAAAAGAAUAGUGUAAAUAUGAUAAAUGAUGUAACUAGUGAAUUGAUCAGGUCAAUGGUAAAAAGCAUCUAAAUCUCAUAAUAUAUCACAUUUUAGUCAUUAGUUUCUUAGAGUGUCCUGUUUUGGUGAACCAUUCCUUAGUAAAAUUACUCUUACCUUAAAGGACUUGCAUGUGUGUGUGUAUAUAUAUAUAUAUAUAUAUUAACUUUUGCAAAACUUUUGUUUGCGGCUAGUAAGAUCAGAGCCCUAUAAAAAUGUAGCCAAUAACCCAUAUUCCCACAUAUGUUCUAAAUCCACUAUUCAUCCAAAUGAAGAAUAUGUUUCUCAUCCUUUUCUUUUCUGCUCUUCUAAUUUCAUCCACUUCUAAUGCUUCUAACGUCAAUGAUUUCUGCGUAGCAGACCUCAAGGGUACAAAUAGCCCUUCUGGCUCUAACUGCAAGCCCGCUGAUACAGUAACAGCAAAUGACUUUGUCUUCACUUUUCAACCUGCAAACACAUCUAACCCUAUCAAAACUGGAAUCAGCACUGCAUUUCUUAAAGACUUUCCUGCUCUCAAUGGUCUUGACAUCUCUGCAGUACGUGUAGUUAUCGAUAAAGAUGGAUUUAUUCCAUUGCAUUCACAUCCUCAUGCCACUGAACUAAUAAUCGUGGUGGAAGGUCAAAUCACUGCUGGAUUCAUGGCAGCUACCAAAGCUUAUGUGACCAAGACACUGAAACCGGGAGAUCUUAUGGUUAUCCCACCAGGACAAUUGCAUUUUCUAGCAAAUUAUGAUCAAAGAAGAGCCACUGUUUUUGCUGCUUUUAGUAGCUCAAACCCUACUGUCCAUUCUUUUAAUAAUAUAUUUGCCAACAAUGUACCCUCUAAUGUACUUGCCCAAACUACCUUCCUUGAUGUUGCCCAAGUGAAGAAGCUUAAGGCUCGUUUCGGUGGCAGAAACUAGGAUAUUAUUGCUUGCUUAUUGAUUAAUUAGUUAGUUAAUGUGUUUGUUCCAAUGAUCAUAAACAAUAAACACUGAUUAUAUUCUUUUGUGUCUGAUAAGAUUAUAUAUACUCUUUCGAUCCCUUCAUCACUUAUAUACUAGAUUUUGAGUUCUCCCUUGAUUUUGUGCAUGUUCAGCUUUCAGGUGAUGCUUCAUGAACUUUGUAAUCUCGAUUAGUUGUUCUGGCUUUUAGCUGCCUUUAUGACAACAACAACAAAAAUGUUUAUGUAGACUUAAACUUGUGUUUGGAACGAGACCAAGUUGAUUUUCUUUAUGCCGAAAAGUUUUUGACGAGUGUACUACACAAGAUAAAGAUAAAAAAAUUAAAAUGGAGAAUUUUUUUUAAGAGUCGGUCUAUUCUAAUCCACAAUAUGAUAUCUGGAUGAUUUUCUUAAUUACAAAUAAUUAGGUAUGUUGAUAAACUACUCAAUAAACACCUUAGAAGAAUAAAAUAGAAUAACAAAUAAAAUAAAUAUUCAGUUAACUGCAAAACUCUUUGUUCUCCCUACAAGAAUGUUCAGUUGCCAUUCUUGUCAUCGACGAUGACAACCUCCGCAAGUAGGUCUUCGAUUCAACCCGCACAGUUCAGAGUCGUACAUGUAGAAGGUGCAUUAAAAUGUGGCAACUUGGACGGGGAACUUCUAUAUAAAAAAAAAAGGCUUGGACGGAGAGACGAGAAAAUGUUAGCGGUAGUUGGAGAGAGAAAGACAACAUUUUUGUGAAGAAAAAAUUGUGUCUUUUUCUUCUAUUACUGGGUUUUUUUUUUUUGCUGUGAAAGAACAAUCAAAGUAUUCAUUUGUCAACACUUCAGCACAUGUGUGUGAUUUGUCAUAUCAUGAUCACUUCAAUGUAUUUUAUUAAAUAAUAAAGACAAUUAGAUAAACAAACUCUUUAGUAUCUGAAAAUACUCAUUUAAUUGAUCCCAACACCCCAAUUAUUUGAUGAUAUUUAUGGUCAUAUAUCGAUUAUAUUUGCCCUUUUCGGCUUGAACUGGUUGAGAAUAUUUGAAUUUGAAUCCGUCCAUAACCAAUUACCCAUAAGCCUAAUUUACUUAUUCUGUAUGUAUGAAAAACAUGACCAUUAUCAACCAGACGAAGCUUACAAAUUUUUACCCCUUCAUGACACUGCGGUGUGUCAAAAGGAUUUGUAUUUGGACAAGAAAAUGGUACAAUAAUUUCCACACUAAAGGAAGAGAAGUGAAGGUAUUAAAAAAAAAGUAUGAGGUAAAAUAUCAAUAUGUUGAAAAGACAGAAAAACACAUAAUAUUAUAAAAUAUAAAAUUAAAUAUGUUCUUGGUAUUUACUAAUGUUUGUUUUUGUUCCUUAAAAAAUAUUUAUCAUUCAUGAAAAUGUGUUGCUCGCAAUUCUUAUAUAUUUUUCAUAUAUGAGUAUUUAUUUGUUAAAAACACAUUUCUAGAGCAAAUAAACAAACAAAAAAUGGCAUUUUACAUAUACUAAAAGUAAAUGUUCUGUUUACAUAAUCAUAGAUAUCUUCCUAAUAUGAAUACUUCUAUCACCUUAUGACCUUAAAAUUAUAAAUAAAAAAAAUAUUGUAUGAGUAAUUGUUGUAAUUUGUUCUAACAGUAAUGUAGUACUAUCAGUUAAGCUUAAUUUCAACACUCUACCCGACACAUGUUUAAUUUUACCUUUCUGUUUUGUUUUGUUUCCACUUAUUAGUGUAUGUAUUUAUUGUUACUACUAGUAGCCAAAUUCUCCGAAACAGGGCCAAACAAUGUGAGCAGAGAAACAUUACUACAGUAAUCUUUAUAGUUAGCAAACAUAUUCAUAACAAAUUACAUCUAAAAAAGAAUUAUUCCUUAGCGAAGUUUCUUUUAACUUGAUAGUUAGCAAACAUAUUUAUAGCUAAUGUAUCAAAAAUUCUUGUCCAUUCCUCGGUAGCUUGAAUAGUUGUGAUAUCAUCUAUGUCAAAUACUAAAUUUUCUACUGCACCCAUUCCCUUCCGUGUUAAUUCCUAUGGUUUUUAUGUACAAUAAUAUGUUACUUUUGCCUUUGUACAUUACAGAAUAAGCAAAACAGUGACAGCGUGACUAUUAAUUGCAAGUUGCAAUAUUCUUUUCUAUUUUCCUUUUGUUUUACACAUGAACAAUCCUGCAAAAUAAUAAGGUUAUUGCUGAGAUGACCUAAUCAUGCUCUAUUUUGGAAAUGAUGCGUUCUGGUAUUAAAAUAUGCUUUCUAUGAUUUUUAUUUUAUUUUUUUGUUCCUGGUUGCUUUAACCUAGUGUUUUGCCCCAUAGGUUAUCAUCAAUCACCAGGCUCUUCCUUGCCUUCUAAUCUAUUGACCAAUAAUUAUUAAAAAAGCAUCAAGAAGGAAGCUUGUUGGACCAUAUCAAACAUCACAACCGGUAAUAAACAGCAGAUUCAGGUAUAGUUACUUGUUCAUCAGUCCCUUCCCCUUUUGCAUAAUUGCAUGCACGUACAGAUUAUCAGAUGCAAGCCUGGACUUUUGAGUCUAUAGAUUAUUACAUUUUAACGAUGGAAAAAUGAAUUCAAAAGUCAAACUUAAUCAGAUUUUGCCAAAGGAGAAGAUAGAAGAAAAAUAAUCACGAUAGUAAUCAACCUGAGGUGGAAUGUGGAUUUCAGAAUAUGGAUUUUAUGAUUAUUGUAUCGUUAUGAAUCAUCAAACUAGUAAGGACCAAAAGUGGAAUUGUUGGUUGGUUAAAAGUCUUUAUUGGCAUUACUAUGUUAACACUUGACAUUAUUGGAGAAUAGAGACAAUAUUCUUUAACCAUUAGUAUUAGAGGCAUGAGGUAUUUUAGAUUCUUCAUCUUAAUGCCUAAGAUUAAAAUGGGACCUUGUAUACAAGGUUUGAGCCUGAAGCAUUCAUGUGAUCACUUACUAAUGCAGUUCUAAUUACUGAGAUUUCUCUUGUACUAUUAAAAACUCCUAUUGUGAUUUGUGCUAUAUCUUUGUUUCUUUCUCCUUUAUUCUAGAACUUAAAGUUAAUUAUUUUGCUGGCACAGGCAUUUGGUUGAUUGACACCAUAGAGGUCUUUAUCUGGGAGUUAAUGCAGAAUUCCAGAUCAUGUAUUUGCAUUUUUAAGAGCAAAUGCAUUUUUAUUCUUUCACAACGUAAAAGUAGCUUGUUUUAGGCACGUUUUAGCUCUACCGCACACUGUUUAAUUCCUUGAUCUGCAUGUUACUUGACUUAAAUACAAUUUGAGACUUACGGAUAAUGCAAUGGUACAACCCCUUUAUAUUUUCUGAUGACAUAAAACUGUACAAUUACUUGAAUUACAGUUGCUAAUUUUUCAAUCUUCAAUCAUUAUAGAAGCUUAAGGAACAAUCACAAGCUUCUUCUGUUCCUUUUCACAAACUUCUAAAAGUCAUAUAAACUCUCUCAUUCUUUAUUAUUCUCUAAAACUUCAAGGUUUUAUGGGCUUGGAUCUUUUUUAGAUAUUUUUUUAGAGAAAUUUAUCAGAGGGAACAAAUAACAAAUGCCAUUCAGCCUCCAAUGAAUUAAACACGGUGAAGAAUAAACACAAAGUGAAGAAACUAAAAUUCUAGAAGAAUAAACACAAGCACCAAAUUUGCAAAAAUGCUCACAGUACAAAUUAAUGAAAUCAAACAAUGAAUAUCCACAGUACAAAAUCAAUGAAAUCAAACAUUUAAAUAAAAAAUAAAUCAAAAAUUAACGAAAAAAAAAUGAAUACACUGUGGCACAGCGAGAGUGUGGAUUGAAAUCGCAAGGAAAACUUACUUGUGAGCGAACGUUAUGUGUGGUGCGUGAGAGUGACUGAGAGGGAGAGAGAGCUACGGAGAGAACUAGUGUACUAAGAGGGAGAGAAAGCGCUAGCGUCGUGUGCGUGAAAGUGACUGAAUUUGAUUUUGAAAAAAUAAUCUUAUCCAAACACCUUUUAUACGUUACCAUGAAGGUUGGCAUAGUAUAUUUUAGAUAUGUCCUUUUUUUAAUUAUCCAAAUAGAAUGUGUUUAUUUAAUGUGUAUUACAUUUAUUACUUUCAAAGUAGGAAAAAAAAGAGAGAGAAAGAUGAGAAGGGAAGUUUGAAUAUUUUUAUCCAUUAGAGAAAUGCUUACCCGGAAGAGAAUAUAAAUUUAAAGGUAAGUAAUUGUAUUAAAGGCUGGUUGACCAAAGUAGGGGUACUAUUAUAAACUAAUUAUCAAAAUGAGAUUAUUUUAAAAUAUAUUAAUAAAUUUGAGUUGUUUUUACCGUUGACCGGGUCAACUUAUCAGUCACAUUAUAUAUCAUAUUUAUUACUUUUUUCUUUUUGUUUUUUUUUUCUCUUUCUAAUUAAUUUACUCUAACAUAUAUAGUGUUUGGUUGAAAGAAAAUGGUGGAAGAGGGAUGUAGGGAUAUAUUUUUUUAUAAAAUUUUAUAAUUUGGUUUAAUUUUUGGGAGAAAAAAAACAUUUAAAAUAUAUUUGAUGAGUAUUAACUAAAAUAUCUCUACUUAUGUUUUGGAAAAUAAAAUUAUAUAAACAUGCAAGGAAAUAUCUCUACUUAUGUUUGAUGGUUUGUUCGGUUGAUCUUUACAGUAUUAGAGACGGGUUAUUGAGACGAAAUGUCCUAUGUCUAAUAAAUGUUAACUGAUGAUAUUUAUCUUGAUUACUAGUUUCUAAAAGUGUCCUAAUUAAUUUGAUCAAUCAUUUUUUUUAUAAAAUUACUCUUUUCUCAUUCUUUUCUUUUCCGCUCUUCUUUCAUCCACUUCCUAUGCUUCCAAUGUGAAUGAUUUCUGUGUGGCAGACCUUAAAGGUCCAGAUAGCCUUUCUGGCUAUCCUUGCUUGCCACCUACAACACUUACAGAUGAUAACUUUGUGUUCAAUCUUCAACCUGCAAACACCUCACAGUUCCCUACUAUCAAAGCUGGAAUUAGCACUGCAUUUGUUAAUGAAUUCCCUGCCCUCAAUGGUCUUGACAUCUCUGUAGCGCAUGUAGCUUUCGAAAAAGAUGGGUUUUUUCCAAUGCAUUCUCAUCCUGAUGCCACUGAACUAAUCAUCUUGGUGGAAGGUGAAAUCACUGCUGGAUUCGUCACCGGUAUGAAUUCGAUUGCUUAUCUGAAGACGCUGAAACCCGGAGAUCUUAUGGUUAUUCCACCAGGACAUUUGCAUUUUGUAGCAAAUUCUGGUAAUGAGAAAGCCACUGGUUUUGCCACUUUCAGUAGCUCAAACCCUACUAUCCAUUCAUUCAACAAUAUAUUUGCCAACAAUAUACCUUCUGACAUACUUGCACAAGCUACAUUUCUUGAUGUUGCCCAAGUCAAGAAUCUUAAGGCUCGUUUUGGUGGCAGCAACUAGUAUGAUUAAUUGCUAGCUUAUAAUUAAUUAUGUGCUGGCUCCAAUGGUUUUUCUUUUUUAUAAGAUGUGUUUGCUCCAAUAAUCAUCAACAAUAAAGUUAUUUACUUGUAUGUUUCCCUUUUUCAUUUUUUGUCCAAUCUCAAAUCUUAAUAUACUUGUUGGCUCCCUGACUGCGAACGAAAUAACUACAAGGAAAUAACCCCGGAUAGGUGAAGAAAGAAAGAUCGACAAGCAUUCGAAUUUUUCAUAAUAAAAGCACACUUUAUUUUAAUUUAGUUUUUGUUGAUUUAUUUUACUUGCAUUUUUUUUAUCAAUGGAAAGAAUAAAAAAGAAGUAGGCAGAAGAAAACUAAUGGCAGCGGACAUUGGUCACAACUCACAAGUCUGAAAACUGGGCGAUGAUUGGCCACCUUACUUUGCUAACUAGUCGGCUAUCUUUUUCCUUCACUAAAAGUGUGAGAGAAUUGAAUAUUUCAUUGUUGUUGCUUAAAGGAAUGAAUCUUUGUAAUGAGAGUUGCGUAUAUGGAUGACAUGAAUGUACUCCAAGAUUGAUAAGCUCCAAAGGGACUUUUGAAUCCAUUUCACAUAUAAUAUGAUGCGCACCCAGGGAAUGCCAAGAACCAACGCAAAUAGUUCUGUAUGAAGGGAUGUAAUAACCCCACAUGAUCAAUAGAAACGUGUUACUCAUUCACCAGUUGUGUUCUUCCUAAUUACUCCUCCGACGCCUACUUUGCCCAGAUUCCCAAGAGGAGAACCAUCAGUGUUCAACUUCAAGAAAUUUGGUGGUGGCAGACUCCGUGAGAUAUAGAUAACUGAGUUGUCCCUAUUGUUGGAACACACACUGUUCCUCACUUAAUUGCAAGAGAUGCAAUUCACUCCCUCACACAUUCCCUCGUGUAUCACUCACUGUUUUCUAAGCAUAGAAUUGCACACACACUAGGAAUAGCACUAGAGACUGAAAAUGAUAGAAUGAAAACAACACUUUAUUAAGAUGUAUGAUUGCCCUUUUAUACAAGCAAAACAAAGUAACAACCCUUCACUCUUAGGUUAGCACUUAUAACAGAAUUUUAAAAUUCUGCUACUCUCUCUUAUAUACAAAGCCAAAACAGAAUUAAACUCUCACACCCUCCCUUAAUUCUGAUCUCCUAAGUCCAUCAAGCCAAUUCUGUCCCUUAACAUUUUAAACCUCUCCCCUUUGAGAGGUUUGGUUAAAAUAUCAGCAAGUUGAUCAAAUGUGCAGCAGUACUCCACUUUUAAUUUCUCUUUGUUCACUUGAUCCCUAAGAUAGUGAAAUUAAACCUUGUUUCUAUGUGUUUGCUUCUACCAUGAGAGGUUGGAUUCUUUGAUAGGCUUAUAGCUGACUUAUUAUCCACAAAAAGCUUCACUCCAUCACUCUCCUUGAUUUUUAAUUCCUGUAGUAAUGUGUCCAACCAGACAGCUUGACAAGCACUCAUUGCAACUGCAACAUACUCAGCUUCACAUGUUGAUAGAGCCACUAUGGAUUGCUUCUUAGAACACCUCGAUAUUGGUGCUGCACCAUACAUGAAUAUGUAACCUGUAGUACUCUUUCUGUCAUCUCUGUCUCCUCCCCAAUCUGCAUCAGUAUAUCCCAUCAAUUCCUCUGAGUUGCUAUUGUCUUUAUUUGGAAAUAAAAUUCCAGCAUUGAUGCCCCCUUUUAUGAACCUUAGAAUCCUCUUGGCAGCUAAGAGAUGAGGAAUUCUGGGUCCUUUCGUAUAUCUACUUACCAGUCCAACAGCAAAUUCCAAAUCAGGUCUUGAAUGACACAAGUACAUGAGAGAACCAACAAUCUGUUUGAACUCAAUUGCAUCGACUUUGUCUUCCUUGCCCUCCUUUUCAAGUACAAGACCUGCCUCUGUUGGUGUUGCUGCUGAAUUACAUUCAACCAUGUUGAAUCUCUUCAAUAUUUCUGUUGCAUACUUGCUCUGGAGCAUCAAAAUACCUCUCUCAGUCUUCUUGAAUUCAAGUCCAAGGAAAUAGGAUAGAACCCCCAUAUCAGUCAUUUCAAACUCACUCAUCAAUUCCCUUUUUAGUUCUGCUAUUUCACUUUCAUUACCACCAGUGAUCAACAAAUCAUCCACAUAGAGGCAUAUAAUAAUGAUAUUACCUACUGACUUGGAUCUUACAUAGACUCCAAACUCACAGCUACACUUAUCAAAGCCAAUUUUCAUCAUAAAACUGUCAAUUUUAUUGUUCCAAGCUCUUGGGGCUUGCUUAAGUCCAUAAAGAGCUUUUCUCGACCUGAGAACCUUUGACUCUUGGCCAGCUAUAGAGAAUCCAAGUGGCUGAGUAACAUAGACCUCCUCAUCAAGAGGACCAUUUAAGAAAGCACACUUCACAUCUAGUUGGUGCACUGUCCAAUUCUUUAGGCUAGCAAUUGCCACUACUGUUCUAAUAGUCUCAAUUCUAGCAACUGGUGCAAACACCUCUCUGUAGUCAAUCCCAACUUUCUGCAAAAAUCCUCUAGCCACAAGUCUAGCUUUAUACUUGACCACCUUGCCUUCUGGAUUUGUCUUAAUCUUAUAGAUCCACUUCAUAUCAAUGGGCUUCUUUGAUUUUGGUUGAGAUACCAGCUCCCACACUUGAUUUUUCUCAAUAGAUUUAAGCUUUUCUAUCAUAGCUUCAACCCACCUCUGAUCAGUCAUAGCAUCUUCAAAGUUUAUUGGUUCUGCUUCAGAAAACAGAGCAAAAUGUACAAGAUUCCCAUCUGCACUUACAUCAGCAUCAAACAACAUCUCAAAACCUUGAAAUCUAGCUGGUUUGGGUGCAUUUCUCUGGGGUCUCACUUCUCUUUGAGUGGUAUUACCAUUCCCUUCACUUGUUUCUUCCUCUUCUGACCUUAUCAUUAUUGAAGGUCCUUUCAUUUCAGUAUUCUGCUCCCAGUUCCAGCUUCUAGAUUCAUCAAAUACCACAUCCCUACUAAUUAUUAUCUGCUUACUCUUCGGAUCAAACAUCUUAUAGCCUCCAGUUGAGUGAUAUCCGAGUAAGAUCAUUUGUUCACCUUUAUCAUCUAGCUUCCUUCUUAACUGAUCUGGGAUAUGCCUAAAACAAAGUGAUCCAAAGAUUCUGAAAUGGCUCACAUUUGGUUUAGCACCACUCCAAGCUUCUUAAGGUGUUAUUCCUUCCAAUCUCUUUGAAGGGCUCCUAUUCAAGAUGAAGACAGCUGUAGACACUGCCUCUCCCCACAAGUACUUGGGCAGACUCUUGCCUUUCAACAUGCUCCUUACCAUAUUCAUUAUGGUUCUGUUUUUUCUUUCUGCAGCUCCAUUAUGUUGAGGUGUGUAGGGAGGAGUCACUUCAUGAAUUAUGCCUUCUUGAUCACAAAAUUCUUGAAAUUCUAUAGAAACAUAUUCACCUCCACCAUCUGUUCUUAAUAUCUUGAUCAAUGAGUCACUUUGCUUUUCUGCCAUAUUUUUGAACUUCUCAAAGACUUCAAAGACAUCACUCUUCCUUCUUAUUAGGUAAACUCAUACUUUCCUAGUCAAUUCAUCAAUAAAGGAUAUGAAGUAUCCGUUUCCACCCAGAGAUUCAGUUUGCAUAGGGCCACACACAUCAGAGUAAAUCACCUCAAGUUUCUCUUUUGCCCUGAUUGGUACAUUUUGUUUGAAAGUGCUUCUUGAUUGCUUACACUGUAAAUCAGCUGUAGACACUGCCUCUCCCCACAAGAAUGUGAUAACUCAUUCCCUGUGUGUUGUUUCUUUUUGGAUCUUGUGAUGAUCUCGAACCUUGUGUUUGUGGGAACAAAUGGUUAGGUGGAUAGCUUUAGAAAACCUCGUGCUAGAGGACGCCGAGACACAAUGCUCUGAUAGGACGUGACACUGGGACAUGAGUUUAAGCAUUAAUUACAUAAAGUUCUCGACAUGUAGUUUUUAUCAUUUUUGUUUCACAUGUUGAGUCUUUAGUUCAUUCUCUGGAGUUUUGGAUGACCUUGUUUUGAGCCGGAAAUGUUUUCAUACCCCUAAUUGAUAAGUUUUUUUAAUUUGGUGACUAAUGUGAAUAUGAACCUUUUACCCACAUGAACUCCUUAUAUUUAUUGAAUAAAAUCAUUUCAUGUAAUUCUGUAUUUCCAUGUAUUUUAUUAUAUAAAUAUGUAUAUCGGGGUAGAGGGUGUUAGAGUGUGUAUGUAAUAGAUUAUGUUUGUCAUUGUACAACAAUAAUAUAUAUUUUAAAUUCUAACUUAAGGUAGUUUAUAUAUACUUUCUAAAAAAAUAUGUUGCAUGCUCAAAUUUUAAACAAGUUCAUAGUUAUGCUUCUAAAUAUGAUGAAUUUUAUUAAACAUUAAAUUUUAAGUGUACAAGUUUACAUAUUAAUUUUUUUUAAUAUAGACCGAGUCAUGUGGGUCAACUAAUGACUCAUUGGGUCACUGGGUCACUGGGUGACCUAGUACCCCGAUUGAGUCAAUGAAAAAUUCGAGUAUGAUAAUACUGCUACAGGACCAAACCCACAUUGUACCUAAUAUGGGAUUAGGGCCAUUAAUGUUAUUUUUAAAAGUGAUUUUUUUCCAACUGUCCAAAAAAUAAUUUUAAAUUAAUCGACUAGGAUUAAUUUUAGUCGACCUCAACUAGGAUUAUUUGCUACCGACCUUGACAAAGGCUAUUUUUGGACGACCUCAAUGCGGAUUUUUUCCCCACCUCGUUCAAAGCAUUUUUUAUUGACCUUCGUCAAGGCAAUUUUGGACUGACCUUGUUAGGGUUGUUUUGGUCGACUUCGAUCAGAGCUAUUUUUGGUUGAACUCAAUCAAGGUUGUUUUUGGCUGACCUCGGUCAUGACUAUUUUUGGUCAACCUCGGCCAUGACUGUUUUCAGUCUACCUUGGUAGGGGUCGUUUUUGGCUAAACUUGGCUAGGGUUAUGUUCGACCAAUAUCAGCUAGGGUUAUUUUUUACCAACUCCGACCAGGAUUGUUUUUUGUCAACCACACCCAGGGUUAUUUUCUAUUGACCUCGAUCAAGUCUAUUUUUGGUUGACCUUGGUUGAGGUUGUUUAUGGUCGACCUCAACAUGGCUCAUUUUGGUUGACCUUGGCUAAGGUUAUUUUUUGUCAACCUCGGUUAGAGUUGUUUUUGGAUGACAUUGACGAAACUCUUUUUGGAUGACCAACCUAGACUAGGGUUAUUUUUGGCCAACCUCAACUACGGUUAAUUUUGGCUAAUCUCGCCUAUGGUUAUUUUCAGGCGAUAUUGUGUACGAUUAAUUUUGGCCAACCUCGGUUAUGGUUAUUUUUGGCCAACCUUGGUUGAGGUUAUUUUCAGCCAACCUCGACUAGGGUUAAUUUUGGCCGAUCUUGGCUGAGGUUAUUUUCGGCCAACCUCAACUAGGGUUACUUUUGGUCGAUUUCAACUAACCUCUUUUAUACAAUUUUUUACAUGCUCUACUAUAUAAAAAUAAAGAAGUAUGAUAUUGAAAUAUAUAUUUGAAUUAUGAGAAUUGAAAAGAAGGUCUAAUUUUUCGGCCCAUGGGCUAGUCCUAGCCCAUAAGCCUUUGUGGGCUUUUUCGCCCUAUGGGCCAUUUAUAUAUGUGGCCCAUUUUGGCCCUAGCCCACAUGGGCCAAGGCCAAAUGGGUUAGGGUUAGCUUAUUUGACAAGUCUAGUUAUUUGAUUCCACCACAAAUAACACAACGAAAUCAUGCAAUUACCCUUUUAAGCAACAACAUUAUGAUUUCGUUGUGUUUUUAAAAAAAUAGUUUUUUUACAAGAAAUUUUUUGUUUUCGUAAAAGUAAACUUUAAUGUUUUAUAUUGUGAUUUAAUAAUCAUAUUUAUGAUGGUAUGACAAGCCAACAGUGUCCUAGCUUGAUGCAAUGUGAAUCGUUUAUUUUGUCGGUGCAAUCUUGGUUGUUGCUGAUAAUUGACUCACGAUAGAACAAUACAAUAUGAUAAUAAAUACGAUUGGUAUGAGGAUGCUCAAUGCAUUGUGUUGGAUCUUUCACUAUAUUAGGUUGAAGAUGGAGGGGAGUAGUUGCUAUUGUGUAUUAUGAUGGUGAUGUGGUACAAACUUCUGAGGAGGUAUAGUUUGAAUGUCUAAAUGGUCCUAAAUUCAUAAAAAUUAGUGAGGAAAUGUUGCUUAUUGCUUUGAGGAAAGUAGUCACAAAUGUCAUCAAAGGCAAAAGAAGCAGGCAGAAGAAGCUUAUUUGAGGUUUUUUUUUAUCGUAAACAUAUAUAUGUAGGUAAUGGUUGUGCUUAGUAUGACUGCAUGGAGCUUAAAGACACAAUGAAGUGGGGAAAGCGUUUUUCAUCUUUUCAUAAUUUAGUUCUAAAGGUCUGAUCAAGUUGUAUGCAAUGGUUAGCUAUCUCCAAAAGAAUUCUUUGCCCUGGUGAGAAACCAAGAAAACCAAGACCUACCGAAGAAAUCAUUUCUAUGAUGUGUGGAUCAAUGGUGACAACAAGCUCUAAUGAAGAUCAUAACUCUAUUUAGUCAUGUUUUAAUUGAUGAAAUUUAUGUCAGUUUUGGUUGUUGUUGUUGUUGUUGUUUGUUUUUUGAAUUAAAUUGAAAUUUCGUUCUUUAUUACAUUAAUAGGCGUGUGUCAUUUAAACAUAUAAACAAGGCAAACAAAAACUACUAAAAAUAAGUUUUUAUAAAAAACAUCAUAAGUAAAAUACAUAAUAAUACAAAAUGAUUGAAAAAAAUCAUCAAAUGUCUUCAAGUGCCCUUAUGGCCACCUCCUCUGCCACCUUUGUUGGCUUUCUUCCUCGGCUACUCCUCAGUGACCUACAUCCAGCUGCAAGACCAUCGUGUGCCAUCAGCAGAAGUUGUUGUUUGACCUGAUGACUAUUUAUGCCUUUAGGUACAACUCUCAUGUCCAUUAGUCUCUAUGUGUACGCUGACAUCAUUUGGAAUCAAUCCUACAUAAAUAAAACAAUACAAUUAGUAAUUAUUUUUUUAUUAAAAAUAAAACAAAAUGAUGAAAAUAUUGUUUGCAUUACUUGAUAGGAGUAAACAACCCCUGAUACAUAAUCUAGCAUCUGAACACCACUAGCUCGUGGCCGAGGUUGAGGAGAAAUAUGUAUUAGGACUGUGUGGUGGCUCUCCCUCCUGUGGUGAAAGCAUGUAUGGAUGUGAAUGCUCUUAAUACCAAGGCAGGUAGUAUCGAGUGCAAGCCCAUGGAGCCCCAUGUGGAACAACCUUGACCACUGCCACUGCAUGCUUAUCUCACUCGGCCCAUGUCUGACAAUAAGGCUCAUAUUCUUUAGGAUGCUCAAAUGGGUCCAAGGGAAUCCAUUGUACGUACCCAAACUAUCUCAAAACCUUCUUUGAUAGAUAUAACCACAUGUAUAUCCUAACUCCAAUGUAGGCAGGGUACGAUGUCUAGUCGUCAAAAGGUAUGAGGUCUUUGGGUGAUGCAUAUUGGGACCAGACAACAUCAGUCAUCUAUAGCCUAUCCAAUAACUCCCUAGUCCCAACAACCUUGUUAGUACCCCUCAACGGCAUGUUGCGAUGCUUGCGGUCAUGAUCCAACACCUUUUCACUACAAGGAAUGGUCGAAAAAGGCUCAAACACCCAUGCUUGUAAAACAUGAAAUAUAUUUUUAGCAUCAAGUAGUACUAAAAAAAACAUCAAUUAUGUAUACAAAAUUAAAUUGUUCUUACUAUGAGUAGAGUCAUAUAAGCUCACAUAUGUUUGUUGGUAUACUUGUAAGCAUAUGUCAAUUGGUCAUAAAGAUAAGCCAACGUAGUUGCCCCCAAGCGUACUUAUAGCAUCAAUCCAAAUCACCGAGGUACUAGAGGUAGCAGAUGUGUACACUCGUCAAGUUCUUCUCGACAAAUAUGGUAUUGUCAAGCAAAUGCAGAAAAUACACCUUGGCAACCCAAACAAAUGACUCAUUGGAAACGUAACUGUGAUAAGGCUCUCUAACAAACUCAGAGGCACCUUAUUGCUUGAUGACGUUGCAACAUCUACCUCCUGGUCCAUCAUAAUUCCAAGCUCUAACCUUACUAGACCUCUAAUCUCCUUUGUGGCGUAGGUCGUGUCUGUUUGAUCAAGAAAACAAACGAUGAUAGAAAGAUGUAAAAGGCAUGACAAAUAAUUAAGGGUAAUGGUCAUCUCUCUUAUAGAAAGGUGGAAGGAGGAGGUCACACUGUGCCAUCUCUCAAUAAAGACAUUGACUACGCCUUUAUUUGUGGACAUGUACCGCGCAUCAUACAGGCCCUUUAGCCUUGACCUAUCCACGUACCUCUUCAUCAUUGAAUUGGUGGGGUAGUGCAUAACCUUGCCACCAUGGCUGACCAGCUUCAGCUCAUCUUUGGGUUGACUGAUCCAUACAUGGCCAACUAUGUGGUCCUUAUAGGAUCGAAGCAGACUCAAAUACAUAAGACUUCCUCCAAUUGGGGAUUUGAUGAUAUGGUUAGUAGGCGAUAUUUGUGGUUGUUGUGGCUUUGGUUGUGCCUUAGGCUAUGGCUCCGGUUGUGCCUGUGCCUCCGGCUCUUGUCAAGAAGCCUUUGAAUCACAACAUGCUGACAUAGUCACGCGUUGCCUCUGAAACUCAACAUCUGAUACAAAGGCAAUAAGCUUUGUGUGAUCCAUCUAAAAAGGGUAGGAAUAUCAAUUAAACAAUAAAUUAGAUAAUUUAAAAACAAAAAAUUGAUGAAUAACACAACAAAAUCGUAUUUCUGUUAUGGUUUUAUAAAAACAACAUAUCAAAAAUACGAUUUUAUUGUGCUAUUUGAUAAAUAAUACAACAUAACCGUAUUUUAAUUGUACUUUUUUCAAAACGAAAAAAAAUAACACAAUGGAAGUGUGAUUCCGUUGGGUUCUAGGUUCAUAAUCACAAUAGGAUCGUACUUCCAUUGUGUUUUUGUUUUGUUUUGAAAAACACCACAACAUAGUUACGAUUCAGUUGUGAUUUUCAACACAGGACAUAAUGGAACUAGUAUUCCAUUGUAUUCUGGGUUGAGAAUCACAAUGAAAUUGUACUUUUGUUGUGGUGUUUUCCAAAACAAAACAAUAAAACACAACAAAAGUAGGAUUCCGUUGUGAUUCUCAACCCAGAACACAACGAAAUCACACAACUAUUGUGUAUAAAAAAGAAAAAAAAUAACUUAAUAGAGCUCCAAAAUGAGAAAUGAAUGGAGAAGAGAGAAGGGUCUUCGACGAAAAUGAGAAAAUGAAAGGGAGCGGGAAAGAAUGAAGGAAGAGAAUGAGAGGGAGUGGGAUUGAAGGGACUUGGAUGAGAGGAAGAAAAUGAGAAGGAGUGAGUGAGAUAGAGAGAGGGAGAGAAAGAGAGAUGUUUAAGAGGAAGGGGAAAGGGUGGGGGUGAGAAGAAGGGGUGGGCAGAUGCGAAAGGGAAGGGGUGGGGGUAAGGGGAAAUUUCCUUAAGGACAAUUUCAUAUUUCCAUUACCAUUUUCAAAAAUGGUAGUGCCAAUAACAGUGGGAGGUAGUGAGAAUAACAAUUCCCAAAUAAGUGGAUUAUGCAAGCUAGCCUAUGAGCCCACAGAAUACGUCGUCAAGUCCACUGGUUUCAUGGGCCAAACUCAAGUAUUGCCUAUAGUUAUGUGGGUUAAAAAAAGCAGGUUCGUUAUCCACGCGGUCCGCUGGCUUAACGGGCUGACCCACGAACUUAGGCCCAUAUACCCACCUCUAGUGAUGGCGAGAUGAGGACGACAAUGAUAAUGACUACGAUAGCAACAAAAUAGUGAUAGUAGUGAUAUUGAGUGGUAGUAGAAAUAGUGGAGUGACAGUGAUUUCCUAUUUAAACGCCCAAGGUGGCUUUCCUAGUCCAAAAUUCGUUACACUAAAAAAGUGGCUCAAUAGGCCUAGAACGGGUGGAAAAGAAAAGUAAAUUUAAAUAAUAAUUGUAUAAUAUUUUUAUAUUAAAUAAAAAGUAAAUUUAUCUUUUAAAAAAACAUCAUCCCAUUUAAUGGUACAUUGAUAUUUUUUUUUACUUUUAUAUAAAAAAUAAAAUAAAAAAACUAACAAUCCUCCCCUCAGCUUGCUUGUUUUAAAAAAUAAAAUAAAAAACAUCAUCCCAUUUAAAUGAAAUUUGUUUUUAUUUUUAAUUAUUCAAAGACGGUCAUUAUAAUAAGACCGUCUUUGUAUCAGCUUGCUUGUUUAUUAAAGGCGGUUAUUUCAAUAAUCGUUGUUGUCAACUUUUAGAAAAUUACAAUAAUGCCACCGCUAUUAUUUUUACAACGUGUGAUAUUCAACCGUGGUAAGUGUGAUGUCGUAAAAUAACAUUAUUGUAGUAGUGUUAAUAUAUUUUAACUUUAAAAAAAACUUCUGAAUUUUACUUUAUAAAUUACUGGUCAGUAAAAUACAACGAAGGCCUUAGAUCCAUGUUGAAGGAAUGACAAUCGGAGAGUGGAGGCAUAAUCUACUACUCCUACUUUGACACUUUUGCCUGCCAUCAACGACCUUAUUCAGACUCCAGCUUCUUAUGGUACCAUUUUAUACCUACAAUAACAUAUCCAAAUAAGUUCUCAGUUAUCAGCCCUUCCUAUUGUGCUCCUAAGGCUCUUAACUUACAAAUUAACACAAAGAAAGGUGUCACUUAUGACGUAAAGGGUAACCGUGUAUUUUAUAUAAAAGAUACUUUGUUCACAUUUCACGGUCGUCGUGUGUUAUGUGAUGAUAAAGGAAACCCCAUCGUCACUCUAUAUAAGAAGGUAUGUUACUGAUCUAGGAGACAUCUUAUACUCAGCGAUUUUUUUUCUAUUAAUUAAAUUAACUAAAUUGAUAUUAUAUAUUCUUAAUUUUUAUUUUUUAUCAGCAAAUAUUAAUUAUUAAUUUUGGUAGUUUUUUUAGUGAAAUAAAUUUGAAUCCAUAACCUCUCUCUUUUCUUCUUUCUUUAACUAUCAAAUCAAUCUUAUAUAAUUUAGUAUUCUUAAUUUUUGUUUAUAUGUAGAAUGUGACAUUGCACGGGCAAUGCAAAGUUUUCAGGGGUAAUACCUCUGAGUUGCUCUUUUCGGUGAAGAGAUCGUCAAUAAUCCCGAGUGGGAAUAUGCUUAGAUUAGAUGUCUUCCUUGGAAACAAGAGAAAAGGAAGCAUGUGUGAUUUUAGAGUCAUCGUUCGUGGAAGUAAAAAUUCAUGCACUAUUUAUGCCGGUGAAUCUCCAACUAUUGUUGCCAAGGUGUGUAUUGCAUGUGUUCUGGGCAUGUUUUUAUAUACACAUUAAUUUAAUUGCCUAUCUAGUAUGGGUUUGGAUAAUUAUUGAUAAAAAUUAAUUUUAAAUUUUGAAUGAAAUUAAUUUUACAGACUUGAUUAGAAUUAAAAUUGAUUUUAAAGUGAUGUGUAAUUUAUAUUUAAAUAUUUUUAUGAUAAAAUUAAGUUAGGAGUAAAAUUUAGUAUAAUUUUUUUAUUCUAGUUAGAAUUGCUUAGUUCAGAAUCAAUUUUAGACCCAAAAUUAAUUAUGAAUCUUUUUAACAUAAAAUCAAACAUAUAAUUUUUGUUCUAAAAUCAAUUAUGAACUUGAAAAUUAUUAUUGUUUUUUUCCUAUUAACUCAGAAUCAAUUCUAACAUGAAACAAAGCACACAUACUUUUAUCUUGGUAAUUGUCGUGGAUCUUGAGCACAAAAUGAGUAUUAGUCUCCUGGUACGAUUUAUUACAUGCCUAAGAACAAAUCAAGAUUUGAAUUCCAAAUCACUUUUGUUAUGCCAAACUGUUAUUGAUCCAAACACAUACUUAACACAGCUGAAUGGAUAUAAUGACUACAUUUUAUCGCCCUCUUUCAUGUAGAUGGAGAAUAAUGGAGGCUUCAAAGUCUUGGUCUAUCCCAACGUGGACUACACAUUCAUAGUGGCACUACUUAUGAUUAUUGAUGACAUCAAAGAUUAUGAUGUGUUGGUAAAUGCGUCGGUGAGUAGUAUCCUAACUGUGGCGACGGGGGGUAUCUUACCUAUUCUGACAUUGUUUGAGGGAGAAAAUUUAGAAGAAGAAACCUUAGAUGGAGAAAACUUAGAAGAAGAAUACUUACAAGAAGGAGAAAACAACUCAGGUGGAGAAAACUUAGAUGGAGAAAACAACCCAAAAGGAGAAAAUUUAGAUGGAGAAAACUUAGAAGUAGAAAACAACUUCGAAGCUGAAACUUAGACGCAGCUUCUAAGUGAGUGCUUGUGGUAUUGUUCUCUAAUUGGCAUUAAUGUUUAUGUAGUUUCAUGUCAAUAAUCUGCAUAAUAAAGGUUUUCAUUAAAUGUCAAUGCAGAUUAGUCAGCUGGUUAAAUUCUUAUUCUGUCGUCUAAGUUUUAUUGUUGUAUAUGAAACAAAUUAAAAUUAAAUUUUGGGCAUGAUUUUGGUUAGAAUAGGUUGUGUCUUUUCAUUUUAGUGUAUGAAUAAAAUCGAGAAGAUAUUGCAUAUAAAAAAAGAUGUAAUAUUUUUCGCAGUUUUUUUUAUAAAAAAAUUUGAGUAAUGAUAUUGGAACAUUAUUAUUUUGAAUAUUUAUCAACACUUUUUAUUUUUCUUUAUCUUUCUUUCUAGCAUGUCAAAUCACUAUUGCGUAUAAUAUGAAUGGGCAAGAAUAAGUAUAUCUUAUACAAAUAGUAUCGAAGAUUAAAAGUCCAGAUAUCAAAUGCACAUGAUUAAUUGUGUUCUCAAAAUUAUACAUUUUAUUUUGCAACUAAGUAAUUGAGGAAAGAAAUUAAAUUAAGAUGUGAUUGAUGGUCAAUUAUCUAAUGCAAGAUAUCAAAUCUAAACGAGUAAGAUAGUAUGAAAGAGAAGAUGAUUUCCGGCAUACCAAUUCUAUCAAUCCUAAUUCUAACAAGAUUAUUGUUAAUUUCCCGUUUUCUAAAGUCAAUUAUUAGUCAUUGAUUGUGGUCUAAUAAUGCUCUUUGUCUUAAACAAUAGUCAAUUGAUCGUUGACGUAUUAAUGGCUGACCAGCUUCAGCUCAUCUCUGGGUUGACUGAUCUAUACAUUGCCAGCUAUGUGGUCCUUAUAGGAUUGAAGCAGACUCAAAUACAUAAGGCUUCCUCCAAUUGGGGAUUUGAUGAUAUGGCUAGUAGGUGAUAUUUGUGGUUGUGGUGGCUCUUGUUGUGCCUUAGGAUAUGGCUCUGGUUGUGCCUGUGCCUUUGGCUCUUGUCGAGAAGCCUUUGAAUCACAACAUGCUGACAUAGUCACUCAUUGCCUCUGAAACUCAGCAUUUGAUACAAAGGCAAUAAGCUUUGUGUGAUCAUUCUAAAAAGGGUAGGAAUAUCAAUUAAACAAUAAAUUAGAUAAUUUAAAAACAAAAAAUUGAUGAAUAACACAACAGAAUCGUAUUUCUGUUAUGGUUUUAUAAAAACAACACAUCAAAAAUACGAUUUUAUUGUGCUAUUUGAUAAAUAAUACAACAUAACCGUAUUUUAAUUGUAUUGUUUUCAAAACAAAACAAAAAAUAACACAACGAAAGUGUGAUUUUGUUGGUUCUAGGUUCAUAAUCACAAUAGAAUCGUACUUCCAUUGUAUUUUUGUUUUGUUUUGAAAAACACCACAACAAAGUUAUGAUUCUGUUGUGAUUUUCAACCCAGUACAUAAUGGAACUAGUAUUCCAUUGUGUUCUGUGUUGAGAAUCACAAUGAAAUUGUACUUUUGUUGUGGUGUUUUCCAAAACAAAACAAUAAAACACAACAAAAGUAGGAUUCCGUUGUGAUUCUCAACCCAGAACACAACGAAAUCACACAACUAUUGUGUAUAAAAAAGAAAAAAAAAUAACUUAAUAGAGCUCCAAAAUGAGAAAUGAAUGGAGAAGAGAGAAGGGUCUUCGACGAAAAUGAGAAAAUGAAAGGGAGCGGGAAAGAAUGAAGGAAGAGAAUGAGAGGGAGUGGGAUUGAAGGGACUUGGAUGAGAGGAAGAAAAUGAGAAGGAGUGAGUGAGAUAGAGAGAGAGAGAGAGAGACGCUUGAGAGGAAGGGGAAUGGGUGGGGGUGAGAAGAAGGGGUUGGGUAGAUGCGAAAGGGAAGGGGUGAGGGUAAGCGGAAACUGCCUUAAGGACAAUUUCAUAUUUCCACUACCAUUUUCAAAAAUGGUAGUGUCAAUAGCAGUGGGAGGUAGUGGGAAUAGCAGUUCCUGAAUAAGUGGAUUAUGCAGGCUAGCCUAUGAGCCCACAAACUAAGUCCGUCAAGUCCACUGGUUUCAUGGGCCAAACUCAAGUAUUGCCUAUAGUUAUGUGGGUUAAAAAAAGCAGGUUCAUUAUCCACGCGGUCCGCUAGCUUAACAAGCCGACCCACGAACUUAGGCCCAUAUACCCACCUCUAGUGAUGGCGAGAUGAAGACGGAAGUGAUAAUGACUCCGAUAGCAACAAAAUGGUGAUAGUAGUGAUAUGGAGUAAAUUUAAAUAAUAAUUGUAUAAUAUUUUUAUAUUAAAUAAAAAGUAAAUUUAUCUUUUAAAAAAACAUCAUACCAUUUAAAUGUACAUUGAUAUUUUUUUAAACUUUUAUAUAUAAAAUAAAAUAAAAAACUAGCAAUCCUCCCCUCAUUUGGAAGAUGUUUUUUCAGACUUGUUACUUAAAAAUCAAAUCAAACUAUUUUAAAUUACUAUAUAUGGAUUAAAAAAAAUUGAAAUUUAAUCAAAUUGAUAAAUAAAAAGAUGGCAUUUUUUUAAGUUUCUAUUAUUAAAAUUGAACAAAAUCAAAUCAAAUGGAUAAACUUAUAUUAUUUGUUUUGUUUACCCCAUAUAAAAUCACAUUCUUUCUUUAAUUAACCCCUUUAAAAUCCCAUUUUAUUUUAGACUUUUAUCUAUACACCAAUAUUUUUUUACCAUUGUUAGGUCAAAAGACCUUUGAGUCUUAAGACAAAUCAAGACCCUUAAACAUUUUGAUUAAAUACAAAUAAAUACAAAAGUUAAAAGUUGUAUCUUACGUGCACUCAAAUGAAGAAACAUUGCAUUUGCAUCUAAAGUUUCAAAUGGAAGUAGAUAAAUGUAUGAUCUAAUGCAACAUUUAAUAUCUCAUUUAAGACUUUAAUUUAAUACUUUGUGCUUGAGAUUCAUUUUGCAUAAUUUGUUUUAAAAGGCAUUCUCCUAGGAUCUCUCAAAAUCCUAAGAAGAAUAAAAGAACUUUAAGAGCCUGGAAGUUCAAAUAGUAUCAAAACUCGUGCUCUGUUGUGAUAGACCUGGUCUAACAAAAAAUAAGUGAUUUUUUGCUAAAGUAUCCUUCAAGGAAGCUAAAGAGAGUGAUUUUCCAGCAUGAAGCGGACAUGCAUUUUAUACAAACAUUGAAUGCCCCAACGAACACUUCUUCAAACACAAGCUUCAAUGAAAAAUUCUACUCAUUUAGGCACAAUAGAAACUUGAAGAAGAAGGCUUAUAAAUACCAAAGGCUUUGAAGAAGAGCUGUAACUAAUGAACCUACACGAAAAGAUUCAAAUUCUCUUGUUCUUUCUUCUCAAGCUUGUAUAUCCAUUAGUAAGACGAUUAAGAACUAGUUAGCGAGCCAACCAAACAACAAAUAUUUUGAUUUGUUUUAGAGCCAUUAAUGGCUUCGUAGAACAAAAAAUACUAGGUUCUUCAAGCUUGUUCUGUAAGAGUCAGAAGUGGCAGUGAAAAAUAAUACUUGUAACAUGUUGGAGUUAGUGAAACUUGGUGGUUUGCUCGAGAUGCAGAAACUUUAAUGAAUUUGUUAACACAACCGAUCUAAAAGGACGUCCUCAUGCUUCUUAAGCUUUACCCAAAUUUGGCCUUUUACAUUGGUUGUCAAGCAAGUGAUUUAAAAAGAAAAUGUUUUAUAUCAAUUGUGUUUACAAUCGAUGCAAAAAGUAUUGAUGUCCAUCAAAUAAUUAAUGGAUCUCACAAAAAGUGCAUAAGUGUUUCUUUUUAAACAAUUGAGAGACCAAAUUUGACCUUUUAAUAAAUGAGGGAUAAAAUUGAACCUUAAAAUAUAGUUAAGGGACAAAUUGUAUAAUUAAGCCUUAUUUAAAUCUUGUAAUUAAAUUAGGUAAGUGUCAUAUUUAUAAUAAAAUUUGAAUAAAAAAUAUUUAAUGAGGUUAUUUUAAUAAAGGAUUGACUUUCCCAAGAAUCCUGAUACACCGGUGUACCAGAUAAGUAUCCUGCCAACCAAAAGGAUGAAUACUAAAAAUCCAAUACAUCACAAUUAUCAUAAGAACCCAACAUUCAGUCACUUGAAUACCCUUUGGGCUAAUGUCAAAACAUCUAGUAUGAUAAAAGACACUCUAAUCAAGAUUAAAGAGAUAAUUGAACAUUGUAAUCACACUUAAAAUAAGAUUAUCUAAAAUGGUAAUCAUGUAAAAAAAUCUCACAGGUCCGUAGACCGACCAUUAAAGUAAUUAUAAAUAGAUAUGAGAAUCUUGAGGUAAGAGGAUUGUUCAGUCAUUUAUUACUCUAGGUGAAACCUUAUUUGAGUGUCGAAGUGCAUUUUGCACCCAUCCUUCAAAAGAAGAACCCGCUAAGCACACUAAAGCGAGAUACAUCAAAGUGAAAGAUAUAGCAAGGAGAAAGGCAUCUGGGCACUUCAAGCAUGAACAUCAGGUAUGAAAAAAUUUUCUCUCCUACCAAACAUCCUAUAGUUAAUGGAUAUUCUCUCCUCCCUAAUCCCCUUUCUACAUUAUCUUCUCAUUCAUUUCCUUCUUUUGCUAAUUUUCUUCCUACUAAAUGCUACCUUUUAAUUACUUUUCAAAUUUAUCCGAUGAAUUAAGAUAAACAUAUUUUUUAAAUUGAAUAACAAUUGUAAUAUUUGUGUGUGAAAACAAUUGUAAUUUUUUUAUUAUUCCAGUUAUGGGAGCCAAUUGUUAAACCACUAUUUAAUAUUCAUGAGGAUAAAAAUAUCAAACAAUUAAUGAUUUGUUUCAAGUGGCCUUAAACCGACAGUAUGCCAGAGGACUUGUUUUCUUGAGUAUAGGUUCAUGGACAUUUAAUUAUGGUGAUGAUGAUACACUCGAUUUUUCACUAUUUAAAACUGUAAGUUGAUCUAUCCACUUGAUGAUAACGAAACCUUUAAACUAUGUAUUCUUAAUUGAAAAUAAUAAAGUCUUCAUCAUUGCCAGCGGAUGCACAAGCUACACAUAAAAAUUAGGCUUAAUAUAUUUUAACUUUUUAAUUUCUAAUUUGAUGUAUUUUAUCUUUAACUUUUAAAAAAAAUUCUGAAUUUUACUUUAUAAAUUACUGGUCAGUAAAAUACAACGAAGGCCUUAGAUCCAUGUUGAAAGAAUGGCAAUCGGAGAGUGGAGGCAUAAUCUACUACUCCUACUUUGACACUUUUGCCUGCCAUCAACGACCUUAUUCAGACUCCAGCUUCUUAUGGUACCAUUUUAUACGUACAAUAACAUAUCCAAAUAUUAUUUUCUUUCUUAAUUCUUUUCAUUUCUUUAUUAAAAUUAAGAAACUUUCCUUUCUCUUUUAUUUUUUAUUCUAAUUCAAAUAACUUUAAAAUUUAUUAUCUUUCUUCUCUUUUAUUUCUUUCCUCUACCAAAAGAUGUUUAUUAGUUUUGUUUUGAGUAAAUGACCAUUUUAUUUUCUAAAUUUGUAUUUUGUUAUGGUUUUAGUACUUAAAAUCAAGAAAAAUUCAAAUAAGUUCACGAACAUUUUUAGUGUUUCACUUAAAUCUCUGAAAGUAACUUUUUUUCUUUUUCUUAUUUUGGUUCCUAAACUCAUGUUGUUAUUAUUACCUAAGUCCUCGUACUAGGGGUCAAAAUGAAAAAAGAAAAGAUGUUAGGUUAAGAGACUUAUUUGGUGAGAUACAAAUUUAGGAAAUGAAUUGGCUAUUUACUCUUUUGUUUUUAUAAAGUUGAUUUCUAAUUAAAAUAAGUUUAAAUCACUUUUCAGGAUUUAGUGAGCCAGAGCUCCCAGCCUGCCAUUGUCAAACCUUUGUCCUAACAGAGACAAGAUCACAUCUUCUUUGACCAAAUUCCAUCCUACGGAGGCGUUGCUCGUUUGUUUGUUAUUUGUUAUAAACUUUUUUAUGGCCCUUCAAGUUACACAUUGUAGAAAAUAAUAUUAUAAAAUGUAACAAUUUUAUUAUAUAUAACCCAUUGAUGGCCCUUCAUAUUUAUCCAAUAGCUUAUCUCUAACUUUGAACAUUAACAUUGCAAUCGCGCUUCUGUUUUUAUUUUUUUUAAUUUUGAAAUUUGUAAAAAAAUCUUUCAUUCUCUUUUCACUGCUAAUUUUCUUCCUACUAAAUGCUACCUUUUAAUUACUUUUCAAAUUUAUCCAACGAAUUAAGAUAAACAUAUUUUUUAAAUUGAAUAACUAUUGUAAUUUUUGUUGUUGUUGAAAACAAUUAUUGUUUUUUAUUACUCCAGUUAUGGGAGCCAAUUUUAAACCACUAUUUAAUAUUCAUGAGGAUAAAAGUAUCAAUCUACAAUUAAUGAUUUGUUUCAAGUGGCCUUAAUCCGACAGUAUUUGGAGGACUUGUUUUUUUUAGUAUAGGUUCAUGGACAUUUAAUUAUGGUGAUGAUGAUAGUACCAUGAUAUACUCGAUCGUUUACUAUUUAAAACAGUAAGUUGAUCUAGUCUCUACUUGAUGAUAACAAAACCUUUUAACAAUGUAUUCUUAAUUGAAAAUAAUAAAGUCCUCAUCAUUGCCAGCUGAUGCAUAAGCUAUCCAUAAAAAUUAGGUUUAAUUGUAUAAUUUUUUUAAUUUUUGAUGAAUUUUAUUUUUAACUUUUUAAUUUGACAUAUUUUACCUCUAAUUUUUAAGAAGCUUGUGAAAUUUAUCCUUCCCAUUUAUCUAUUAAAAAGCAUAAUAAUUGAUGGUAAAAUUUGUCAAAAAAAUAAAUAGUUCAAGAGUAAAAUUCGUAAAGAAUAAUAAGUCAGGGAUAAAAAGUACAAUUAUAUUAAUAGUUAAAUGAUGGGAGUAAAAUUCACAAGAUUCUUAAAAUUUGGGAUAAAGUAUAUCAAAUUAAAAAAAUUAAGGUAAAAUUCACCAAAAAUUUAAGAAAUUAAGGAUAAAAAAUACAAUUACGCCUAAAAAUUAUCAUUUUGUCUACCCCAAUGUUUUUUUUAUUUCAGCUUAAUUUAAGAAAUUAAGGAUAAAAAAUACAAUUACGCUUCAAAGAUAUUUACAAUCUUUCUAGUUAACGUUUUACAAAGAGUACUGUGUUUAAUUCAUGGUGGGAAUAAUGAAAAUUGAUUUUGAUUUGAUUUAAACACGAUUUUAUCAAAAUAUAAAUGCUUGGUUAUUGUUAGCUAAAGUUAUUUUGCUUUAUAAGAAGUGAUAAAAAGUAACUUUUAUGUUGAGUUAAAGAAGCAAUCUCGCUUUCAAGAUAAAAGCAUACAAACCCUUGUCGAUUUAAAAUAAAAUUUAAUAUUAUUUUCUUAUUUAUUUUGGUCAAAUAAUUUUUAAAAUUUAUUUAUCUGUUCCACAAUUAGCCUAUGAAACCGUUUUGUCUACGCAUAAUUAGACUUCUAAUAAACCCAAACAUAUUUUCAAAGACCAAAUCUGUAAAAGUAAGAAAAAAAUCAAUUAUUUCCUUAGAUAAAAAUUGAGAACAACUUGGCUAGUUUAAUCAAAUUUCAUUUCCCCACAUUUUGACAAAGUCAUAAGCUAGCUAGCUAAACGAACUACGACUUUUCUCACUGUGUACGUUUUCCAUGCCAAGUCUUCGGAAUCUUGGGCUCUGCAAGUUGAUGGUCAACUAGGCAGUUUUGCCAUUGGGUAAGUGGACCUAUUUAUAAAGGAUGGUCAAUUGAGCAAUUAAUUGAUUAACAUAUGUACCUAACAUAUGUCUAAGAUGCUUAUGUCUUUAACCAAGUACUAGUAGUUUAGAAUUUAAAUUUUAAUUAAUUAUUAGGUAUAAAAUAAAUUAUAUUAAAAAAAAACCUAUUUUACAUGUGUUCAAGAUUUCUAACGAAAAUUUAUUUUUAUUUUCAAUGAAAACAAUUUUAUAAUUAUAAAAAAUAAAACAUACGUGACCAAACACACAAUGUGUGUACAUAACAUAUGCUCUAUAAAUUAGCCUUUACUCCAAAAGACUAUCUCAUACCACAACACAUGUUUCCAAUGGCAAAUAAGUUCUCAGUUAUCAGCCCUUCCUAUUGUGUUCCUAACUCUCUUAACCUACAAAUUAACACAGAGAAAGGUGUUACUUACAACGUAAAGGGUAACCGUGUAUUUUACAUAAAAGAUACUUUGUUCACAUUUCACGGUCGUCGCGUGUUAUGUGAUGAUAAAGGAAGUCCCAUCGUCACUCUAUACAAGAAGGUUUGUUACUGAUCGAGGAGGCAUCUUAUACUCAUUUUUUUUUGAAUUUUUUUUCUAUUAAUUAAAUUAACUAAAUUGGUAUUAUAUAUUCUUAAUUUUUGUUUUUUAUCAGCAAAUAUUAAUUAUUAAUUUUAUUAGUUUUUUUUAGUAAAAAAAAAAUUGAAUCUAUAACCUCUCUUUUUCCUUCUUCCUUUAUCUAUCAAAUCAAUCUUAUAAUUAUUUGGUAUUCUUAAUUUUUGUUUAUAUGUAGAAUGUGACAUUGCACGGGCAAUGCAAAGUUUUCAGGGGUAAUAGCAAUGGUCCCUCUGAGUUGCUCUUUUCGGUGAAGAGAUCGUCAAUAAUCCCGAGUGGGAAGAUGAUUAGAUUAGAUGUCUUCCUUGAAAACAAGAGAAAAGGAAGCAUGUGUGAUUUUAGAGUCAUCGUUCGUGGAAGUAAAAAUUCAUGCACUAUUUAUGCCGGUGAAUCUCCAACUAUUGUUGCCAAGGUGUGUAUUGCAUGUGUUCUGGGCAUGUUUUUAUAUACACAUUAGUUUAAUUACCUAUCUAGUAUGGGUUUGGAUAAUUGCUGAUAUAAAGUGAUGUGUAAUUUAUAUUUAAAUAUUUUUAUGAUAAAAUUAAGUUAAGAGUAAAAUUUAGUAUAAUUUUUUAUUCUAGUUAGAAUUGCUUAACUCAGAAUCAAUUUUAGAUCCAAAAUCGAUUAUGAAUCUUUUUUAACAUAAAAUCAAACAUAUAAUUUUUGUUCUAAAAUCAAUUAUGAACUUGAAAAUAAUUUUUUUUUUUUGCUUUUAACUCAUAAUCAAUUCUAACCUGAAACAAAGCACACAUACUUUUUUCUUGAUAAUUAUCGGAAACCUUGAGCACACACAAAAUGAACAUUUCCCCUUUUAAUACGAUUUAUAACCUAAGGACAAAUUAUAAUUCGAACCCUAAACCACUUUUAUUGUGCCAAACUCUUAUUGAUCCAAACAAAUAAUUAAUACAACUGAAUGGAUAUAAUGACUACAUUUUAUCGCCCUCUUUCAUGUAGAUGGAGAAUAAUGGAGGCUUCAAAGUCUUGGUCUAUCCCAACGUGGACUACGCAUUCAUAGUGACACUACUUAUGAUUAUUGAUGACAUCAAAGAUUAUGAUGUGUUGGUAAAUGCGACGGUGAGUGGUGUCCUAACUGUGGCGACGGGGGGUAUCUUACCUAUUCUGACAUUGUUUGAGGGAGAAAAUUUAGAAGAAGAAACCUUAGAUGGAGAAAACUUAGAAGACGAAUACUUACAAGAAGGAGAAAACAACUCAGGUGGAGAAAACUUAGAUGGAGAAAACAACCCAGAAGGAGAAAAUUUAGAUGGAGAAAAC